AUUGAACGCUGGCGGCAGGCUUAACACAUGCAAGUCGAGCGGGGAAGGGUAGCUUGCUACCUGACCUAGCGGCGGACGGGUGAGUAAUGCUUAGGAAUCUGCCUAUUAGUGGGGGACAACAUUCCGAAAGGAAUGCUAAUACCGCAUACGCCCUACGGGGGAAAGCAGGGGAUCUUCGGACCUUGCGCUAAUAGAUGAGCCUAAGUCAGAUUAGCUAGUUGGUGGGGUAAAGGCCUACCAAGGCGACGAUCUGUAGCGGGUCUGAGAGGAUGAUCCGCCACACUGGGACUGAGACACGGCCCAGACUCCUACGGGAGGCAGCAGUGGGGAAUAUUGGACAAUGGGCGCAAGCCUGAUCCAGCCAUGCCGCGUGUGUGAAGAAGGCCUUUUGGUUGCAAAGCACUUUAAGCGAGGAGGAGGCUACUUGGAUUAAUACUCUAGGAUAGUGGACGUUACUCGCAGAAUAAGCACCGGCUAACUCUGUGCCAGCAGCCGCGGUAAUACAGAGGGUGCGAGCGUUAAUCGGAUCUACUGGGCGUAAAGCGUGCGUAGGCGGCUUUUUAAGUCGGAUGUGAAAUCCCUGAGCUUAACUUAGGAAUUGCAUUCGAUACUGGGAAGCUAGAGUAUGGGAGAGGAUGGUAGAAUUCCAGGUGUAGCGGUGAAAUGCGUAGAGAUCUGGAGGAAUACCGAUGGCGAAGGCAGCCUCUGGCCUAAUACUGACGCUGAGGUACGAAAGCUGGGGAGCAAACAGG
rnacentral:rRNA from 1 species